rnacentral:rRNA from 1 species
GUUCGGAAUUACUGGGCGUAAAGGGCGCGUAGGCGGCCUUCUAAGUCGAACGUGAAAUCCCCGGGCUCAACCCGGGAACUGCGUCCGAUACUGGGAGGCUUGAAUCCGGGAGAGGGAUGUGGAAUUCCAGGUGUAGCGGUGAAAUGCGCAGAUAUCAGGAGGAACACCUAUUGCGAAGGCAGCUCGCUGGGACGUAACUGACGCUGAGACGCGAAAGCGUGGGGAGCAAACAGG